CACUUAUCCAGAGAGAUGGAGGGAUCUGGCCCUUUGAAAUCUCGGCAACAGCCUUUUGGGCGAUGUGCUAAAUCCAGCAGGGAAACCUGAAAGAUAAGAG
rnacentral:ncRNA from 2 species